AGCGAACGCUGGCGGCAGGCCUAACACAUGCAAGUCGAACGAAGUCUUCGGACUUAGUGGCGGACGGGUGAGUAACACGUGGGAACGUGCCUUUAGGUUCGGAAUAACUCAGGGAAACUUGUGCUAAUACCGAAUGUGCCCUUCGGGGGAAAGAUUUAUCGCCUUUAGAGCGGCCCGCGUCUGAUUAGCUAGUUGGUGAGGUAAAGGCUCACCAAGGCUACGAUCAGUAGCUGGUCCGAGAGGAUGACCAGCCACAUUGGGACUGAGACACGGCCCAAACUCCUACGGGAGGCAGCAGUGGGGAAUCUUGCGCAAUGGGCGAAAGCUUGACGCAGCCAUGCCGCGUGGAUGAUGAAGGUCUUAGGAUUGUAAAAUCCUUUCACCGGUGAAGAUAAUGACUGUAGCCGGAGAAGAAGCCCCGGCUAACUUCGUGCCAGCCGCCGCUGUAAAAC
rnacentral:rRNA from 1 species